rnacentral:ncRNA from 1 species
AGGUCCGCAGUUCACCUAGGCGCCGCCGGUCAUUCUGACUUUGCUAAACCUGCAC